GACGAACGCUGGCGGCGUGCCUAACACAUGCAAGUCGAGCGAGUGAAUCUCCUUCGGGAGUGAAGCUAGCGGCGGACGGGUGAGUAACACGUGGGCAACCUGCCUCAUAGAGGGGAAUAGCCUUUCGAAAGGAAGAUUAAUACCGCAUAAGAUUGUAGCUUCGCAUGAAGUAGCAAUUAAAGGAGCAAUCCACUAUGAGAUGGGCCCGCGGCGCAUUAGCUAGUUGGUGAGGUAACGGCUCACCAAGGCGACGAUGCGUAGCCGACCUGAGAGGGUGAUCGGCCACAUUGGGACUGGGACACGGCCCAGACUCCUACGGGAGGCAGCAGUGGGGAAUAUUGCACAAUGGGGGAAACCCUGAUGCCGCAACGCCGCGUGAGUGAUGACGGCCUUCGGGUUGUAAAGCUCUGUCUUCAGGGACGAUAAUGACGGUACCUGAGGAGGAAGCCACGGCUAACUACGUGCCAGCCGCCGCGGUAACAC
rnacentral:rRNA from 1 species